rnacentral:rRNA from 1 species
UACGUAGGUGGCAAGCGUUGUCCGGAAUUACUGGGCGUAAAGGGCGUGUAGGUGGUCAAACAAGUCAGGUGUGAAACCCCGGGGCUUAACUUCGGGCAUGCAUUUGAAACUGUAUGACUUGAGGGCAAGAGAGGAAAGUGGAAUUCCUAGUGUAGCGGUGAAAUGCGUAGAUAUUAGGAGGAACACCAGUGGCGAAGGCGACUUUCUGGAUUGACCCUGACACUGAGGCG